rnacentral:rRNA from 1 species
GAUGAACGCUAGCUACAGGCUUAACACAUGCAAGUCGAGGGGUAACAUGGCGGGAGCUUGCUCCUGCUGAUGACGACCGGCGCACGGGUGCGUAACGCGUAUCCAACCUGGCCCUUACUCGGGUAUAGCCCUGCGAAAGUAGGAUUAAUCCCCGAUGUUGUCAAGCGAUAGCCUUUUCACUUGACCAAAGAUUUUUCGGUAAGGGAUGGGGAUGCGUUCCAUUAGCUAGUUGGCGGGGUAACGGCCCACCAAGGCGACGAUGGAUAGGGGUUCUGAGAGGAAGGUCCCCCACACUGGAACUGAGACACGGUCCAGACUCC